rnacentral:rRNA from 1 species
ACUCUAAGCGGUGGAUCACUCGGCUCAUGGGUCGAUGAAGAACGCAGCAAACUGUGCGUCAUCGUGUGAACUGCAGGACACAUGAACAUCGACAUUUUGAACGCAUAUCGCAGUCCAUGCUGUUAUGUACUUUAAUUAAUUUUAUAGUGCUGCUUGGACUACAUAUGGUUGAGGGUUGUAAGACUAUGCUAAUUAAGUUGCUUAUAAAUUUUUAUAAGCAUAUGGUAUAUUAUUGGAUAAAUAUAAUAAUUUUUAUUCAUAAUAUUAAAAAAUAAAUGAAAAACAUUAUCUCACAUUUGAAUGUGAAAAACGAAGAGAAAUAUUUUCUUUUUCAAUCAAAUAAUACUGAGAAAUGUCUAGCAUAAAAAAUUGAAAUAUUUUUCAUCUAGAAUGUCUCUUAUUAAUGAUUCGGAAAUAGAAAAAUCUUGGUUAUGUUAUUAUUCUUCGUUGGUUCGUUAAAAAUGGAUAAAUAAAAACUUUGCAUACAAGAAUUAAUAAAAAUGUUAUAACGAAUUUAAUUAAAUGUUUUAUCAUUAUAUAUAAAGAAUUUAUGGCAAGAUAAAGUUAUAUACAACCUCAACUCAUAUGGGACUACCCCCUGAAUUUAAGCAUAUUAAUUAGGGGAGGAAAAGAAACUAACAAGGAUUUUCUUAGUAGCGGCGAGCGAAAAGAAAACAGUUCAGCACUAAGUCACUUUGUCUAUAUGGCAAAUGUGAGAUGCAGUGUAUGGAGCGUCAAUAUUCUAGUAUGAGAAAUUAACGAUUUAAGUCCUUCUUAAAUGAGGCCAUUUACCCAUAGAGGGUGCCAGGCCCGUAUAACGUUAAUGAUUACUAGAUGAUGUUUCCAAAGAGUCGUGUUGCUUGAUAGUGCAGCACUAAGUGGGUGGUAAACUCCAUCUAAAACUAAAUAUAACCAUGAGACCGAUAGUAAACAAGUACCGUGAGGGAAAGUUGAAAAGAACUCUGAAUAGAGAGUUAAACAGUACGUGAAACUGCUUAGAGGUUAAGCCCGAUGAACCUGAAUAUCCGUUAUGGAAAAUUCAUCAUUAAAAUUGUAAUAUUUAAAUAAUAUUAUGAGAAUAGUGUGCAUUUUUUCCAUAUAAGGACAUUGUAAUCUAUUAGCAUAUACCAAAUUUAUCAUAAAAUAUAACUUAUAGUUUAUUCCAAUUAAAUUGCUUGCAUUUUAACACAGAAUAAAUGUUAUUAAUUUGAUAAAGUGCUGAUAGAUUUAUAUGAUUACAGUGCGUUAAUUUUUCGGAAUUAUAUAAUGGCAUAAUUAUCAUUGAUUUUUGUGUUUAUUAUAUGCACUUGUAUGAUUAACAAUGCGAAAGAUUCAGGAUACCUUCGGGACCCGUCUUGAAACACGACAAGGAGUCUAACAUAUGUGCAAGUUAUUGGGAUAUAAACCUAAUAGCGUAAUUAACUUGACUAAUAAUGGGAUUAGUUUUUUAGCUAUUUAUAGCUAAUUAACACAAUCCCGGGGCUUCUAUAUAGUUAUGUAUAAUGUAUAUUUAUAUUAUUUAUGCCUCUAACUGGAACGUACCUUGAGCAUAUAUGCUGUGACCCGAAAGAUGGUGAACUAUACUUGAUCAGGUUGAAGUCAGGGGAAACCCUGAUGGAAGACCGAAACAGUUCUGACGUGCAAAUCGAUUGUCAGAUGAGUAUUUAGGGCGAAAGACCAAUCGAACCAUCUAGUAGCUGGUUCCUUCCGAAGUUUCCCUCAGGAUAGCUGGUGCAUUUUAAUAUUAUAUAAAAUAAUCUUAUCUGGUAAAGCGAAUGAUUAGAGCCUUAGGGUCGAAACGAUCUUAACCUAUUCUCAAACUUUAAAUGGGUAAGAACCUUAACUUUCUUGAUAUGAAGUUCAAGGUUAUGAUAUAAUGUGCCAGUGGGCCACUUUUGUAAGCAGAACUGGCGCUGUGGGAUGAACCAAACGUAAUGUUACGGUGCCCAAAUUAACAACUCAUGCAGAUACCAUGAAAGGCGUUGUUGCUUAAAACAGCAGGACGGUGAUCAUGGAAGUCGAAAUCCGCUAAGGAGUGUGUAACAACUCACCUGCCGAAGCAACUAGCCCUUAAAAUGGAUGGCGCUUAAGUUGUAUACCUAUACAUUACCGCUAAAGUAGAUGAUUUAUAUUACUUGUGAUAUAAAUUUUGAAACUUUAGUGAGUAGGAAGGUACAAUGGUAUGCGUAGAAGUGUUUGGCGUAAGCCUGCAUGGAGCUGCCAUUGGUACAGAUCUUGGUGGUAGUAGCAAAUAAUCGAAUGAGACCUUGGAGGACUGAAGUGGAGAAGGGUUUUCGUGUGAACAGUGGUUGAUCACGAGUUAGUCGCGUCCUAAGUUCAAGGCGAAAGCCGAAAAUUUUCAAGUAAAACAAAAAUGCCUAACUAUAUAAACAAAGCGAAUUAUAAUACACUUGAAUAAUUUUGAACAAGGGAAUACGGUUCCAAUUCCGUAACCUGUUGAGUAUCCGUUUGUUAUUAAAUAUGGGCCUCGUGCUCAUCCUGGCAACAGGAACGACCAUAAAGAAGCCGUCG